GAGAGAGAGAGAGAGAGAGAGAGAGAGAGGGAGUGGAGAGCAGUUAAAAAACUUAGCUUCUAUGCGUGUUGAAGAAUCGAUGUUUAAAUAAAACAU